AACGAACGCUGGCGGCAUGCCUAACACAUGCAAGUCGAACGGAUGCAGCAAUGCAUCAGUGGCAGACGGGUGAGUAACACGUGGGAAUCUACCCAGUAGCCUGGAAUAACCGCGGGAAACUGCGGCUAAUACCGGAUACGCCCCUCGGGGGAAAGGAGCAAUCCACUAUUGGAGGAGCCCGCGUCCGAUUAGCUAGUUGGUGAGGUAACGGCUCACCAAGGCGAUGAUCGGUAGCUGGUUUGAGAGAACGACCAGCCACACUGGGACUGAGACACGGCCCAGACUCCUACGGGAGGCAGCAGUGGGGAAUAUUGACAAUGGGGGAAACCCUGAUCCAGCAAUGCCGCGUGGGUGAUGAAGGCCUUCGGGUUGUAAAGCCCUUUUGGCGGGGACGAUGAUGACGGUACCCGCAGAAGAAGCCCCGGCUAACUUCGUGCCAGCCGCCGCAGUAACAC
rnacentral:rRNA from 1 species